rnacentral:lncRNA from 1 species
UAUUUUGCGCCUCUGCUCUAUGGGCUGCUUUGAUAUUCUACUCGCUGCUCAGCGAGAAAUAAGCCACCUUUUGGCGUGCUACUGUCAUCCAUCGGUCUUCUCGUGCGCUGUUUUUCUUACGCGCGGAUUAUCUAUUGGUCUUCUCACGCGCUGGAUUUCUCACGCGCUCAACAACAGGGUAUAUUGUUCAGACUCGACAAAUAUUUAUGACGGGUUUUCUCACAUGAUCAGAGUAUCAUAUUUCUCAACUUCAACAUGGGUCUUCCUAUGUUAUUCGGGUAUUCUUGCAACGGUCUUCUGAUUCAUCUAACACAAAGCAUUUAUAUUGCUUAUCUAUGCAAAGUAUUCAAUAUGGGGUAUUCUCAGCGCUGG